GCUGUUCUAUUAUUCUCACAAAUACCAUGACAGGGCCUGCACAGUCUCUGAUGUCCACAGUCUAUGCCUGCAGGGCAAACGUCACGCUGGGGGCUUAGAGGAUUUCCAGCAAACAGUCAUUCCAGACUGAAAAGUCCCUGUAUUGCGAUCUGCUGAAAUAUAGCCUUAGUAAAUCAAAGAUGCAAUUUGGGGGAAAAUUUGUGCCUGCUUUUUUAUUAUGAUCAUAAUUUAUCUUUGGUUAUAAUAGCACCUUCAAGAUUUUCCUCAUUAACAUUAUGGGCAUGAUAAGAUUACUGACUGUUAUUUUUAUUGGAAAGAAUGAACGUGUGAGACAUGGUACAGUCCCAAACACUGUGCUUUACAGACAAGACGGACAAAGACAGUGCUACUGGGACUAUCAUUUCUGUGUAUGCUUCAGAGAACUCAGGCGCACACUGAUUAUGGAAAACUAGGACAGAGCCAGGAAAUGAUUUCAAGUCUCCUGAAUCCCAAUAUGUCAAAUGAGAGACCAACUUCUGCUAUCAGUGUUUCUGUGAUAAAUGUGGUGAUAAUUCAGGUGGAAAACAGGCGGAGAAAAUGCAAGUUGGAAAAUUGGCCAUCUGUGGACAUCUUCCUUCUACAAGCAAUGUUAUCCUCGCCUGCCAGCCCAGAAUGGCAGCUUCCUGGUGCUUCCUCUGCUGCUAUCGGAAGAGACAGACAUGACCCACAGAGAGCAAUAUUCAAAAUACUGAAUGCAUCAUUUCCAGGUGGCGAAUGGGAUCAAUGAGCUAGGAAGCUUGGAACCAAGCAACUAGAAAGCCCCUUGGCCAUGGAGUGGAGUCUACAGGAGCUGAUACAGAAGACAUGUAGUUUCUGCUUUUACCUGUUCUGCUAUAUCUGAAUUUUAUUCCACGAUAUAUAUUUCAUAGUAACAUGUGCCAAUAAAGUUAUCCUAAUGUGACA
rnacentral:lncRNA from 1 species